UCAACAAAGCGACCCCGUUGACUGCCUCAGUAGCGUAGCUUCUAGUCAAACGUCUUUUAUCGUCUAUGAUACUACUAAUUGCCGUCAUCAUAAUCGUGACAAUAAGUGUAAUAGUUGAUCAAUUACAAAUAUAAUUGGGUAAUUCUAUUUCGCAGUGUUUAGUACAGGCCCCUGGUGUUAAUUAUAGUCGUCUGAAUAAAUAUUACUUAAAAUUCUUGUUCAGGAGGUACUAGCUAAAACUGCGUAGGAGAACCGCAACUACCAUAGUCUAGGCCACUGUGGAAUAGUACCCUAGAUCUACCGUGAUGUCUUGGGCUUAGAGCACCCAAUCAGUCAAUCAAUCAAUCAAUCAUUAAAUAAUUCGCAAAGCACCAACUGCAGACUUGGUGAGUGAGAGGUAUUGGAAUUAAAGUUACGAUACAAAAUUAUCAAAAAGAAACUAUUCCUUGGACUUAUUGGGAACUUGUGAGGACUGUCAUUCAUUUUAUUUUGCUAUUCUUCCAAACGGAGGAAAUUUCCUUCGGAUCCUAACUAGGAGUGAGUAUUUUUCUUAGAACAUCCUGGAAAUGGAAGCUGAAGAAUCGUCAUCAUUGCUGCUACUCAAAGAAGAGAAGGUGGAUCUGGAGGAGGGUCCAACUGAAAACGCAGAUGACAACUCUUCGUUUGCAGACCCCUUCUUAGAAGUCAAGGCAGAACCGGAAUUUUUUGACAAUGGUGAUUUUGAUGUGAACUAUUCUUCCCAAUCUUCUAUUAAGCAUGAAAAGGGCAGCUCUCCAAGCUGUGGUGAUGAGACUGGAAAGAAAAAUAUCUGUAUUGGAGAAGAAAAUAGACAUUUUGAUAGAAGCAAUGCAGCAGGGAAGCGAUUUACUUGUACUGAAUGCCAAAGGACAUUUUCAAAAAUUGAUAACCUGAAAUCCCAUAUGAGAACUCAUACGGGAGAGAAACCAUAUACUUGCUUUGUAUGUCAAAAAAGUUUUUCUGAUUCAAGUACUCUCACAAAACACAUGAGAUCUCAUAUGGGAGAGAAACCAUAUACUUGCUCUGUAUGUCAAAAAAAUUUUUCUUUUUCAAAUGUUCUCAAAUGUCACAUGAGAACUCAUACGGGAGAGAAACCAUAUACUUGUUCUGUAUGUCAAAAACGUUUUUCUGGUUCAAGUGGUUUCAUAUAUCACAUGAGAACUCAUACGGGAGAGAAACCAUAUACUUGCUCCGUAUGUCAAAAAAGGGAUUUUGACAAAGGAAAAAUCUAUUUCUGGGCGAGGGACCUGUGCCGCUCCGUGAAAUGCUCCUUAUAGCACCAUUUCUAAGGUAUAAAAACUGCUAAAUAUACCAGAGAAAAAAGUUGCAUGGAAUGCUUGGAAUAUACCCAGCUCGCUCACACUUAUAGGGUGUCGGUAUAGUAACUGGGGUGUGUUAAAACCACCAUCAGAGGUCCCUUACCAAUUAGUCCUCUCCUUUCUCAACAUCCCCCGUUACUAUGAGGUGCCGUUCUACAUCCGACUACUGCCCGCUACUACUACUACCACCCACGCGACUCCCAUCAUUCCUAAUAGCACCCAAGCUUGGGCUCAGUCUAGGGUGAGGAAAAAAGAAGGGUGGGUUCACUGGGCGGCACAGGUCCCUUGCCCAGAAAUAGAUUUUUCCUUUGUCAAAAUCCCUUUUCUGGGCUCAACCUAUGCCGCUCCUUGAAAUAGUAACAGAGAAUUGGUCCCAUAAGCUUGGAAAUAGACAUAUAGUCAAGGAACUGAAAUAAAAUUAGAAUAAGUUUAAUUAAGAAUGUUUAAUAGUAAACUUUAAUUUUACAUAUCUCUUAGACUAUAAAAAUUAGUGAGAGUUCCAAAACUAUUGGUAACAUUAGGGAAAACAUCCCAAAAAUAGAUAAUAUAAGAUGUCUAAAUCUAAUACAACAUUAUUAACAUAUACGCACACAUCAUAAGAGUGGGUUAAUGUGUAAUCCAGAUGAAGGUCAAGGCUAAGGCAGGGACAAUAAGCAAGGAGGUAGGAGAGAAAGUACUAAAGGAAAAAAUAUUUAUGAAGAUUAGACCCUGUUAUAAUGGUUCUGAUAUAUCAGGAGGAACCACAUUCCCUGCUGCCACUGUUGCAAAUUUUAGGGCUUCCAAGGAUUUUAGGUAGUGGCGUUUGAAUACUGCUGGUGAUUUCCAGCCUGUAUAUCUUUUUAAUUCUUCAUAAUUCAUGUGAUGAAAAUAAUUGACUGUAGUAGCUACUGCUCAGAUAUCAUGGGCAUGUGGGACUGAUUCCGGGUUGGCUUGUUUAAUAAAAUAAAGAAUCUGUUGUCUGAUUCCUUUCAGAGAAAUGGUUCCUCCAUUCUCUCUAAUAAAUAAAGGGCCUGAAGACUUUUUGGAGGUUCUAUUCAAAUAGGCUUUCAGAAUGUUAACUGGACACAGAGAUAGAUCCUGUGGAAGUGGGACAAUCUUCCACGGGGACCAUCUAUUCUGUGGAUCCUCAUUCUUUGCUAAGAAUUUCCUGUCUGGAAAGAUUAAUAUUUCACCAGAAGAAAGAAAGUCAAUAUGCUGAGAGUUCAAAUAUUCUGACUCCUGAGGAUAAACUUAUCAAGAAUAACGUUUUCCUAAGAAGCAUUAUAUAAGAACAUGAGUCAUUAUCAGUGUCAGAAGCUAGCUUAAGGACAUCAUUUAAAAACCAGGAAACUGUGUGAGGACAAGUUACUGGUUUUAGUCUGGUACAGGCUCUCGGAAUAGACGAAAAAUACAAAUCUGUAAGAUUAAUAUUAAACCCGAUCUGAAAUAUUUUCUUUAAAGCAGAUUUAAUUGUUGUAAUUGUAUUAGGGGCUAAGCCUGUUUCAAACAAAGUCCUGAAAAAGGUAACUGCCAGAUUCGUAGUCAUUGUCUGAACCUCUGAGUCUUUUAGAAACUUGGCUAGCUUUCUUCCAGCAGAAUCAUAUUGCCAAAGAGUAGAUUCUCUUUUGUCUGACUCUAAGAACAAAGUGUUUAGAGGAUCAAUCUCAGCAUCUUUUUGUGCUGCAAAUUUCAUAAAGUCCAUAAAAUUAGGGCACUCUGAAUUCUUGAGGAAGCUAACACACUGUGAGUUUGUACUAUCGGUGUCAACUUGGGUUGGGAAUCCGCCGGGGGCGGAGUCCCAGUUCCACCAAGAGAGGAAACCAGUUGCUUUUGGGCCAAUUGGGGGCUACCAGGGCUAUCCAUCCUUUGAAAGUCCUGAGAUUGUCCAGGACUUUCAUUAGCAUGUUUAUAGGUGAAAACAGGUAAAUCCUCUGCUAGUUGUUCCAAUUUAUGGACAUGGCGUCUGUGGCGUAGGCCAGAGGGUCCAGGUUGGGUGCUACAUAACAUUGUAGCUUGUGGUUGGAUUCUGUGGCAAAUAGAUCUACUUGGAGAUCCGGAACCUGUUGGCAGAUCCAAUUGAAUGACUUUUUGUCUAAGGACCAUUCCAACUCCAGCGGAGUUGUCCUAGAUAGUGUGUCCGUGACCACAUUUCUUACCCCCGCCAGGUGAACAGCUAAUAGGUGCCAAUGGUUCUUUGUUGCCAUAAAAAAAAUUGCUAUCAUCACAUGAUUUAUGUGACUUGAUUUGGAACCUCCCCUGUUUAUGCAGUGGACUAUCACCUCGUUGUCUAGUAUUAGUCUGAUAUGUUGUUUCUUUGACGGGGAAAGUCUUUUUAGAGUCAAAAACACUGCCAUGGCUUCUAGGAUAUUGAUGUGUAGUUGACGGAAUGUCACUGACCACAAACCUUGGACCUUUUCGUAUUGGGAGUAGCCUCCCCAACCGCUUAGGGAGGCAUCUGUAUGGAUUACUAGUGCCGGCGGUGGGAAUCGUAAGGGUACCGAUUUUGCUAGGUUUUUACUUUGGUCCAUGGUUGAAGUCUUUUCCUCAGUAUUGGUGGAAUCCGAGAAAUUUUGUCUCAAUUUUUCUUGUUUGCUUUGGACCGCCACACUCGAUUGAUGUCUUUCAGUUUGGCUUUCAGUAAUGUGUCUGUUACUGAGGCAAACUGGAGUGAGCCUAGGAUUCUUUCUUGGUUUCUCUGGGACGUUAGUUUGUCCUUGAGAAAACUUUUUGCGUUCCUUGCUAUCUCUUUCCUCUUUUUUUGGUGGAAUCGACAGCUUGUGCCACUGGAAACAUGCUGCCAGAGUAAGACGGGACUUCUUGAAAUUUAUUUGGAAUCCUGAGUAUUCCAGAAAUUUUAUUACUUUGUCCGUCGCCUUGUGGCAUUCCUCAACGCUGUUGGCCCAGAUAAGCCAAUCGUCUAGGUAGGCCACUAACUGUAUUCCUUGAGUUCUCAGCUCUUGGACUACUAUCUCCGCCAACUUUGUGAAUAUCCUGGGCGCUAUAUUGAGUCCGAAUGGCAUCACUUUGAAUGUAUAUGCCCUUUUGCUUAGCUUGAAUCCUAGGAAAGGACGAAAAUGCCUUGCUAUCGGAAACAUGAUAAGCGUUUGUAAGAUCUAUAGAGGUGGUGACGGCCCCACGGGGAAGUAAGGUCCGCACCUGCGAGACGGUCAGCAUAUGGAACUUUUGCCAUUGAAUAUAUGUAUUCAAAUGGGACAGGUCUAAGAUUACUCUUCGUUUGUCUGAGGCUUUCUUUGGAACGCUGAACAAGCGUCCUUGAAAUUUUAAACAUUUUACCUCUUUUAUUGCUAUCUUUAGAAGGAGAUCUUUGGUGUAAAGUGUUAGAUCUGCCGUUGGAAUCUAAUAAAAACUGGUUGGUGGAGGGGGCCCUUUUAUCCAACUCCACCCCAGACCCUUCGAUAUUAUGCUGUAUUCCCAUUUGCUGAAAGUCCAACGGCUCCAGAAGAGGUACAGCCUUCCUCCUACCUGGGGAGUCUCACUGGUUUGCAGAAGGUCUGCUUCCACGGCUCCCUCGGAAUCCUCUACGUUUUCCGGAAGCUCUUCUGCUGCCUCUAUGCCGGAAGGCUCCCCUAGCUCUACUACCUCUCGCAUGCCUAUUGUACCCGUGAAACACACCUUGUGUUUCAAAGGUAGGGUUAUAUGCUGGAGAUGCAGUAAACGAGGUAAUGGCUACUGGUUGUUGAGGUGGCUGGCUUACCCACACAUAUUGUUGUUGGGGCAGAGUCUUUGAUGUGGAAGGCUGACUCAUCUGGGAUACUGGCAUUGCCUGUACCACAGUUUGAGUUUGUGGACCUUGGAAGGACUGAAACUUCCUUGGUCUUUUCCGGCCUCUUGAUUGUGUUCCGGUGGGCUCAUAUUUUCAUUUAGGAAUUAGACCCCACCGGACUUUGAGGCUUUGGUUAACUCUUGCUGCUUCCCCGAGGACGCUGUUUACUACGUCUUCCAGGAACAAGUCCGCUCCCCAG